CCUACGGGAGGCAGCAGUGAGGAAUAUUGGUCAAUGGACGAGAGUCUGAACCAGCCAAGUAGCGUGAAGGAUGACUGCCCUAUGGGUUGUAAACUUCUUUUAUAUGGGAAUAAAACAAGGUAUGCAUACCCUCUUGUAUGUACCAUAUGAAUAAGGAUCGGCUAACUCCGUGCCAGCAGCCGCGGUAAUACGGAGGAUCCGAGCGUUAUUCGGAUUUAAUGGGUUUAAAGGGAGCGUAGGUGGAUUGUUAAGUCAGUUGUGAAAGUUUGCGGCUCAACCGUAAAAUUGCAGUUGAAACUGGCCGUUGUGAGGUCAGGAGAGGUGAGCCGGAUUUGGUGUGUAGCGGUGAAAUGCUUAGAUAUCACGAAGAACUCCGAUUGCGAAGGCAGCUCACUGGACUGUAACUGACAUUGAUGCUCGAAAGUGUGGGUAUCAAACAGGAUUAGAUACCCCGGUAGUC
rnacentral:rRNA from 1 species